rnacentral:rRNA from 1 species
UGGGGAAUAUUGCGCAAUGGAGGCAACUCUGACGCAGCCAUGCCGCGUGUGUGAAGAAGGCCCUCGGGUUGUAAAGCACUUUCAAUUGGGAGAAAAAGCUUGUCGUUAAUAGCGGCAAGCCUUGAUGUUACCUUUAGAAGAAGCACCGGCUAACUCCGUGCCAGCAGCCGCGGUAAUACGGAGGGUGCGAGCGUUAAUCGGAAUUACUGGGCGUAAAGCGCGCGUAGGCGGUUGCUUAAGUCGGAUGUGAAAGCCCCGGGCUCAACCUGGGAACUGCAUUCGAUACUGGGCGACUAGAGUACGAGAGAGGGAGGUAGAAUUCCACGUGUAGCGGUGAAAUGCGUAGAUAUGUGGAGGAAUACCGGUGGCGAAGGCGGCCUCCUGGCUCGAUACUGACGCUGAGGUGCGAAAAGCGUGGGGAGCAAAACAGGAUUAGAUACCCUGGUAGUCCACGCCGUAAACGAUGAGUGCUAGAUGUUGGGAUUUUCGGAUUUCAGUGUCGCAGCUAACGCAUUAAGCACUCCGCCUGGGAGUACGGCCGCAAGGUUAAAA